UCGGUACAAUGAAGAACGGUGUAAAAUGGCAUUAUUCAACUUAGAAAAGUCUCCGCCGGAGGUUGGCCUCUGGGCAGAAUGACCCAGCAGAACUUAAAGCGGAGAGGAAGCAAGCCUCUGCACGGAAACCUUCCGGCCGGGAAGCCCCCUCGAAUCCAGAUACCCAGACCUUCAGGAGGCCGCUCUAGACCGGACCUUCUCAAGCCUGAGAUCAGAGCUCUCUCCGUGCUCCAGAUUCCAAGGUGACGUAGCCACAGAUAUCUGCUGAAUCUGUCUCCAGGACCCCACAAGAAUCUGUUGGCCUGCACACCAAGAGUGGUUCUAGAGCAGAAGGGAGAUACAGCAGUGUUAAUAUGGCAGGAUUGAAACAAUCUCAGAGUGUUGUCCACAGCCAGAUGGUUUGGGAAGAAGCAGAACAUUUUCUAUAUCCGUGGAGAACAGAUUAGACAUGGUAUAGGGAAGAGGGGACCCGAGGAGUUUUCAAGAUGGGACCAAGAGGGUGCAGCAGAAGGCCGGGUGACCCUCUGACCAUGGGUCAAACAGGACCAAGGGCUUCCCAGUAUGACAGGAUCAAGGAGACCAGAUUGUUCACAGCAUACAUUCCUCCCCAAAUUCAGAUCAAUACCAAGGAGGUGGGAAGACCCUCAAAUUGACUGAAAUCAGAUUUCUAACUUCAAGAAGAAUGGGAGCUUGACGAUGAAAUGAACUUCACAUAUAUGCCAAAUAAUAUUCUCCUUCUUUGCAAAGGAAUAAAAAUCAUACCCAGUACAGGAACAACGUCACUGAUAAAGACUUGCUGUUUGCCCUACAUUGUGAACAAGCGUAAAUGCAAAGAGGAAGUAGGCUCUGUAGUCAGGCAAUCUUCAUUGCCACCAUCCUCAACCAAGCCACGGUCAUCCCUUACCUGAACACCAAUAAUCACCUCCUUAGGAUUCUCUCACCUAAAUUCUUGCUUUCCUCCAAUCUCAACUUUCCACACCAAAAUAGGAGUGAUCUUUUUGGUAUGCAAACCUGAUCCUAUCACUCUUCUGCUUAGAACCCCAAUAGCUUUUCUUCAUUUUUAGAAUGAAGUCCUUAUCCAUUUACCGGGGUCUUUGAGGCCCUGCACUGUCUUGCCAGUUACCCCUGGGGCACCUCGCCUUCAUUCUUCUGCACUGGACCUCUCCUGGCUCCUCUGGGGUGCUAAUUUACAGGCCUCCCUCUGCCUGGAAUGUGCCUCCUGGGUCCCCUGCACAUAUCCUCGAUCCUUCAGUUCCUGGCUCCAAGGCCACUCCUCCCCGCUUCUUCCUUCGCCCCAGUCAGUCUGGGGGCUCCUCGAGCCACUCACAUUUGCUCCCUGCCCCUUUACCUCAUUGUGCUUGACCCUCACUGUUCUCCAUGAGGGCAGGGCCAGGGUCUUUUACCCUCCAUACCCAGGGCACUUGCUAUGCCCCAAAUGGAGCAGUCUGGCACAAAAAGGAUUGCAAGAAAUGCUGGGUGAAGGAAAGGAGUCCAGAAAGCGAAUUCGCACCAACGCAUUAACAAAGUGUUCAGGUGCUGGCCUAGAGCAUAUUCUGAUAAAUUUAAAGCAGCCUGUCUAUCCUGGAAAAGCUUGAACUCUUGACAUAUUGCUUAGGGAGACACGUCUGAGCCCCUGACACUUCCAGGCUGCUGUUCGCUAGGAGGAAAGGCAGGCGACCUUCUACUAUUAACUCUGAAUCCCUAGGUGCUUGUCCACCUGCUUCUCUAACCUGCCUCCCCUCCCACGGUGCUCAGCCCACAGGGGUUUUCUGUUCCUGAAACCCACUAAGUUCUCGCCAUACCCAGGUCCUCGAGUGCCCUCUGCGGGGUGCUCCCUUCUCCCCCACCUUGCUUGUCAGGAAGUGAGCUCCUUGACAGCACCAGUGCAGUUUCUGUCCGGCUCUGCUGGCCCCUGUCGCUGUGCGCAGUCCCCUCAGCGCUCUGUCUCCGCAGGGGCGUUGGACUCCAGGUGGUGAUUUUACGCAUUUGUAUAUUUACUUCCUUCAACUCGUGUUCUCUACUACGCUGUGAGUGAAGGCGGGGAGCACGUGGACCUUGCUUCCUACGUCCUGCCAGGAUCUAGCCCAGGUCCUCCGGCAUAGUAUUUGGGCAAAUACUCAGCAAAGGAAGACAGCAGCCUAUAAGAGGGAAUAGAAACAGAGAGGAGCCAGGAGACCCGUCUCUGUGGACCGGCAAAGAAGCUUUGGAAGCCCCACAACCCGAGAUGGCACCACCCUCUGUGUCUCCAUCAACUCCUGAGCUGUUCCAGGGAGGGUAUCAGUAUCGCGGGCUCAGAGAGCAAGAGAGGCCCCCAGUCUUUGUUAGCUGACGCCUCUGGUCUGAAGCAAGUUCAUGUGAAAGAGGAACAUGUUAGUCUUUGAGGUAACAAAUCUAGGAAAUGGACACUAUGCCUUUCCUCACCCACCGCCUGCCUGGUUUUGCAGAUCUGGGGUGCGUGUCUGGACCACCUUAGUCUGAGUACAGCAGGUAAUACUGAAUCAGAAAAAUACCUUUUAUAAGGAAAUGACCUGUGUGUUGAGUUGAUAGUCGUGAAAUGGAAAGAGAAAGAAAGAAUUCCAUUUUGCUUCUGCUUUUAGAAUAUAUAGAAUGAAAAAUGCUCUCAGUUCUACCUUAAUCCCCAGAGGGGAGCAGAGGAGUUAUCAAAGCCCGGGUCUCAGCCCACAUCAUCAGGCUCUUCCCUUCCGAGUCUGCUUUGAGGUCUGUCGAGAAUCCCCAUGGCUUGCUUCCAUUUCGCUUCUCUCCAGGUUCCGGCCUUUGGAACCAUGAGGCAAGUCACAGGAAGAAGAAUGGAGUAAAACCAAAAUGAGGAAAGAAAAAUUAGUUUGUAUGCUUCCUUUUUAAAAAGUAGAUAGAAUGAGAGUUUUGAACAGGAUCAUGUGAUCCCCACCAGAGUUUCCUGGGAGAGGCAGAUUCCAGAAGCCGGGGGCCAGGUCUCUCUUUUGUUGUCUCUGCUUUCCAGCUUCCCUCCCCUUCCCUGUCCUCUCUCAGAGCUUCUGUGCGUGGCUCUGCCUAUCUGCUCAGUCAUCUUCUCUCUGCCAACCAACUUCCCUGCCCUUUAUUUCCCAGGGCAUAGACUUUACCUCCUCAUAACAUCAGCUUUUGUAUGAAUUUUCUAAUCUGUUUGGCAUCCAGCACCCUUCACUUCAGCUCCACUGCUCACUCACUCCCUCUUCCCGCUUCCUGUUCCUAAUUCCUAGGAGAGCUCUCUGAGAUGCCCAUCCUUUCCGGACAGGCUGUAUAAGCCACAGGCUAGUCUGUCUCAAAAUUGGUGGCAUUUAGGCCAGUUGUCCAUCACCCAUCAGCAGUGGCAAUUAGUAUUAAAUGUGUCUGCCUGGGCUGCAAGGAUGGAUGGUGGUGGGAAGUUCCUCUUAAAGAGCAUGUGGGUGGACACGCCCCAUAAAGCAGUACAGGACAGGCAGGGGAAGCGAGUUAAAAUGAGCACACUGCCUGCAGCCACACUUUCACGGUAACUUCAGUGUCCAUGUCACUGACCUCCUUCUGCAUUAAAUGGUGAUCAGUGUCUUUAUGGUCCUUCCAUAGACUCCAAGAUAGAUGCUUUUGGUAUUAUGGCUGAGCAGUCUUAUGAAGAUGGGUAGGGGGACAUCUGUUGUUUUACCCUCUGAGAACAUAAAGAGAUGAAAAUAAUGAUCUGCUACACAGAAGAGAGCCCAGGGCCUUUUCCCUAAGGCAGACCUGGGUCAUUUGCCACGUGUACCAAGUGUGACCAGUCUCCAAACAAGCUUUCUCAUCUGCAAACAUAGGUAGCACAGUACAG